AUGCGGAGUUCUCGGAGCGAAGACGCCAUUGGACCAGCUGUCUUCAUAUUUCAGCGUACAGUCGCGGCCAGCAUUAAAACCGUGCAUUAACCCGUUCUAUCCUCAAAGAAACGUUCGUUAAUUCCCUUGGCUCUUUCUUUUCCAAGUGUUAGUGGAUAACGUGAUAUUAAUAGGACACGUUCGGUAGCCCAACAACAACAACGACAACAACGACAACUACUACGACGACGUCGAACGAGAAACGAUUUAAACAUUCCAUUGUAACUACCGCCUGUUAGAUGAAAGAUUGUGAUGUGGGAGGUGAAAUAAAAAGUUUUCAAAGAAGUGGUUAUUUUCCUUGCUUUAGUGUCACUCUACCCUAGUGCCGACUAAAGUCACCGAGGAUAUCCGGCUGCGAUUUACCGGCUUGUACAUACUGUUGCCGCCGCCGCCUUCUUCUUGUGUUUGCCGCCCCUUUCAAUUGGUCCUUCGGGUCAAGAUCUAAGAAGAAAAAGAGAGGAGAGGGAGAGAGAUUAAGAAUGUGGAUAAAAUAACCCCCAAAAAAACAAUUGAGCGUGUCAUCGGGCGGUGAUAGGCGCUGCUUCAGCGUUUUCACCGUGUUCGAUUUAUUACAUCCGGUUUUAUGCGCGAUCCAGCUCCAGGGAACACCUGCGUAUACGGUAUACAACCAACCCAUACUGCUUCUACGUGGUAGUUUAUACACGCGUGCAUGUAUAAACUACCUAAGUAUACUUACAUAUAUACUUCGUUAAACUAUAUAAAACCAUUUCGAUGCUUUAUUUUGCUUAACGAUAAUCAAAUGUAACACGCGGUAUAAUAGGAAUCUUUAAUGUUGUUCUCAAAAGACUCGUCGAAGAUCGUAAAGAAUUAAUACAACAUUAACUUACUCCGAAA
rnacentral:lncRNA from 1 species